rnacentral:tRNA from 1 species
GGUGAGUUGGAUGAGAGGUUUAAAUCGGCACCCUGCUAAGGUGUUUAUUCUGAAAACAGGGUACGAGAGUUCGAAUCUCUCACUCACCGCCA